rnacentral:rRNA from 1 species
AGUGAACGCUGGCGGUAGGCCUAACACAUGCAAGUCGAACGGCAGCACAGGAGAGCUUGCUCUCUGGGUGGCGAGUGGCGGACGGGUGAGGAAUACAUCGGAAUCUACUCUGUCGUGAGGGAUAACGUAGGGAAACUUACGCUAAUACCGCAUACGACCUACGGGUGAAAGCAGGGGACCUUCGGGCCUUGCGCGAUUGAAUGAGCCGAUGUCGGAUUGGCUAGUUGGCGGGGUAAAGGCCCACCAAGGCGACGAUCCGUAGCUGGUCUGAGAGGAUGAUCAGCCACACUGGAACUGAGACACGGUCCAGACUCCUACGGGAGGCAGCAGUGGGGAAUAUUGGACAAUGGGCGCAAGCCUGAUCCAGCCAUACCGCGUGGGUGAAGAAGGCCUUCGGGUUGUAAAGCCCUUUUGUUGGGAAAGAAAUCCAGCUGGCUAAUACCCGGUUGGGAUGACGGUACCCAAAGAAUAAGCACCGGCUAACUUCGUGCCAGCCGCCGCAGUAA